GAUGAACGCUGGCGGCGUGCCUAAUACAUGCAAGUCGAGCGAACGGACGAGAAGCUUGCUUCUCUGAUGUUAGCGGCGGACGGGUGAGUAACACGUGGAUAACCUACCUAUAAGACUGGGAUAACUUCGGGAAACCGGAGCUAAUACCGGAUAAUAUUUUGAACCGCAUGGUUCAAAAGUGAAAGACGGUCUUGCUGUCACUUAUAGAUGGAUCCGCGCUGCAUUAGCUAGUUGGUAAGGUAACGGCUUACCAAGGCAACGAUGCAUAGCCGACCUGAGAGGGUGAUCGGCCACACUGGAACUGAGACACGGUCCAGACUCCUACGGGAGGCAGCAGUAGGGAAUCUUCCGCAAUGGGCGAAAGCCUGACGGAGCAACGCCGCGUGAGUGAUGAAGGUCUUCGGAUCGUAAAACUCUGUUAUUAGGGAAGAACAUAUGUGUAAGUAACUGUGCACAUCUUGACGGUACCUAAUCAGAAAGCCACGGCUAACUACGUGCCAGCAGCCGCGGUAAUACGUAGGUGGCAAGCGUUAUCCGGAAUUAUUGGGCGUAAAGCGCGCGUAGGCGGUUUUUUAAGUCUGAUGUGAAAGCCCACGGCUCAACCGUGGAGGGUCAUUGGAAACUGGAAAACUUGAGUGCAGAAGAGGAAAGUGGAAUUCCAUGUGUAGCGGUGAAAUGCGCAGAGAUAUGGAGGAACACCAGUGGCGAAGGCGACUUUCUGGUCUGUAACUGACGCUGAUGUGCGAAAGCGUGGGGAUCAAACAGGAUUAGAUACCCUGGUAGUCCACGCCGUAAACGAUGAGUGCUAAGUGUUAGGGGGUUUCCGCCCCUUAGUGCUGCAGCUAACGCAUUAAGCACUCCGCCUGGGGAGUACGACCGCAAGGUUGAAACUCAAAGGAAUUGACGGGGACCCGCACAAGCGGUGGAGCAUGUGGUUUAAUUCGAAGCAACGCGAAGAACCUUACCAAAUCUUGACAUCCUUUGACAACUCUAGAGAUAGAGCUUUCCCCUUCGGGGGACAAAGUGACAGGUGGUGCAUGGUUGUCGUCAGCCCGUGUCGUGAGAUGUUGGGUUAAGUCCCGCAACGAGCGCAACCCUUAAGCUUAGUUGCCAUCAUUAAGUUGGGCACUCUAAGCUGACUGCCGGUGACAAACCGGAGGAAGGUGGGGAUGACGUCAAAUCAUCAUGCCCCUUAUGAUUUGGGCUACACACGUGCUACAAUGGACAAUACAAAGGGCAGCGAAACCGUGAGGUCAAGCAAAUCCCAUAAAGUUGUUCUCAGUUCGGAUUGUAGUCUGCAACUCGACUACAUGAAGCUGGAAUCGCUAGUAAUCGUAGAUCAGCAUGCUACGGUGAAUACGUUCCCGGGUCU
rnacentral:rRNA from 1 species